CCUUUUCACAAGUUUCAUGAGCUAGGUUGACUUGGACAUUGGAUGAGACAUUGGACAAGAAAAUGGGUUAAGUCUAUUAGAAAGAUGUUUAUGCAUUGAGAUGUCAUAACUGAGAAAAAGAAAAAGAGAGAAAAAGAAAAUGAGAAUGCUAAAAGAACAUUAUUUUCUUAUUUGUAAAUACCGUGCCGGAGACUAGAGACUGGGGAGUAUGUGAGCAGAAUAUAAUUUCGUUAAUCUGUGAUGAAAUUGUGUUGUUUGUUCUUUUAUCUU
rnacentral:misc_RNA from 1 species